rnacentral:rRNA from 1 species
GACGAACGCUGGCGGCGUGCUUAACACAUGCAAGUCGAACGGAAAGGCCCUGCUUUUGUGGGGUGCUCGAGUGGCGAACGGGUGAGUAACACGUGAGUAACCUGCCCUUGACUUUGGGAUAACUUCAGGAAACUGGGGCUAAUACCGGAUAGGAGCUCCUGCUGCAUGGUGGGGGUUGGAAAGUUUCGGCGGUUGGGGAUGGACUCGCGGCUUAUCAGCUUGUUGGUGGGGUAGUGGCUUACCAAGGCUUUGACGGGUAGCCGGCCUGAGAGGGGGACCGGCGGCAGUGGGACAGGGGCACGGCCGAGGUACGUAGGGGGGAAACAAGGGGGAAGUAUGGCGCAAGGGGCGGAGGCUGGAGGACACAGCGCGGCGGGGGGGAUAACGGCCUUCGGGUGUAAGCCGCUUUUCCCUUGCAACGAGGGGGGAGUGACGGUAAGGGGUAGAGAAACCCCGACAAACUACGUG